ACGCUUUUGUUUUAGAUAUUGCAUCAUGGUGAAUAAAGCGAAUGCCAUCGCUCCAUGAACUUGAUGGGAACUCAUAGACAAUUUAUGGGAUACUGUAGAUUGGAUGUGUUUUAUGAUUGGUGACAAUCAUAAUGAAGAUUCUAAAUGGAAUCAAAAGAAGUCAUGUUGCAUCACUAGUAUGAAUGUAAAAACAGUGAACUUAUCGCGGUGAUAAUAGACGCUCCAGUGGAGAAUAACCCGUGGACCCCUUUUCGUAGCUGAAAUUGAAACAAUUCGGGAAUGCUAAAGCAAACCGUUUGUCGUGAAACUGUAGAAAUAUAGUUAUAAGAUAAGUAGCACGUACAUAGCUCAAAAGACAGUUUUUGAUAACUUAGAUAUAAAGUUGUAUAUUAUUCUAAAUGCUGAAUGGUGAGUAAAUGUUGCGGGUAUCAAUCCCGUCCAGUCUAGUUCGUAAGAAUUGGUGAAAUGCAUAAAGGUAGCUCCUCUAUGUACAGCUUCAUCAAACUGGUUGUUGAAAAUACAUGUUUAUUAGUUGAGUAAGUAGAAAUACUGCAAUAUCAUGUCGUCAUAG
rnacentral:sRNA from 15 species